UAUAAAUGACAACAUGUGGUAUUUGGUUUUCUGUUCCUGCGUUAGUUUGCUAAGGAUAAUGGCCGUUAUCUUAGCCAUUUGAAAAUAAUGAUUUAACCUCUCUCACCUUCAUUGUCAUUUUAGAAGAAACUACCAGUUGGUGUCCUGCUGAGACAAGAAAAUAUUUUCACAACUCAAGACAAGUUAAAUAUCCACUUAUGGGAACAGUGCUGAAGGCCUGGACUAGGAUGGUAGCAAUGGAGACAGACUAAAGAAAGAGAUGCAAUCAUUCCCUCGCAUAUGGUGUGUAUGAAGAUGGGAUCAUUACAGGAAAGGUGAAGGAGAUGCAGUCAUUAUGCUCUAUAUACACCCAUUUUUAUGGCUAGCAGCUGAAGAUGGGAUGCUUUCUUUGCUGGAAGACCUAUUACCUGUUAGGUUGCAAAAGAUGUGAUCAUCUUCCUAAACAAUAAUUUAGAGUCCCAUAACAAUUUUAAGUGUGCUGUUCAUGAAAAUUUGAAUACAUUGUAUUGGGAAUAUAAUGGAAGUGAGACGCCUCAUGUCAUGAGAAAAUCUGACAUAAACUUCUUAAGCAUGAGAGGCCAUGUGGGUAUGGAAGCCCUGAAGGGGAGGAAAAAACAGCCAGACCCUAGCUGUUCCAGUCAUCCCAACUGAGGGGCCAGACUUGUGAAUGAGGCCAUCUUGCAUCAUCUAGGCCUAGUAGAGCUGCCAACUGACUGCAGACACAUGAGUCAAUCCAGCUAAUGCCACAUGGAGCAGAGACAAGCCGCCCAGCUGAGCCCAGUCCAGAUGACAGAAUCAUGAGCAAAUAAGGUUCCAUAUGGAGAGGACUGAUGAAGCCAGCAUUAGGCGUGAUGGGGACAUGCAUAAAUGUGUAUGUUAUCCACUGAGACACAGAUGCUGAAGCACCAGAAGAUUAAAGGCACUUCUAUUUGUUUCUUCUACCCAGCUGAAAGGACAGAAUGCUUCUUCCACAGAACCAGGACAGUCCAGGGGAACAUAGUCCUUCGACUGAAAGCUAUGCUUCCUAUUUUCUAACAAAGAGGCUAGCUCAUGUUGACCACCCGGUUUUGGCCUGCCUGGCUUGCUUUUUAUUCCAGCCUGGAGGACUUUCAGGGUUGAAUAUCCACUCAAGCCAAAUCCCAAGAAGCAUAACCUGCUAUUAGACUCUUGUCACUUAUCGGGUGAGGGGCUGUGCGGCUGUUCUAGUGCUUCCCCACUUGGGUCUUGUGACAUACCCUGGGGCCAAGCCAAGCCCUGGCGGUUAGCUUCUACAGUCUGUCCUUAAAGAGAGCUCAGGGAUGUCUGGACAGGACCUGGAGACAGUGCCCUGGGCCAGAGACCUCUGAUCUCUAGGCCAGCAGAGUCACCAUGCAGACAGAUUUAUGAGCCUUAGGCAAAACAGCUGGCAUUCCUGUGGCCAUCUUUCUACCCCUUCCUUUCCACAUGACCAUAUCCUUGGCCAGAUCUUCAUGUCCUUAGAUGGCUGUUGCCUUUGGGUGAAUUGGCAAUUAAGAUAAAUAAGCAUGUUUAUCAUGGCCUUGUGGUUACCCAUCCUGAAGCUCUCAGGGUGGCAAGCUGCCUGACCCUCCUACUAUGAACUUAGUAGCUUUAAAACAGAGAGUAUCUUUUCCUGCCUAGCUGAAAUUUCCUCCCCAGGGGACCUACUUUUAGGAUUAAUAUGCGGGAAAGUCUGCAGUUUUGUUUUCAGUGAGGGUAGUUGUGUUUUCAAGGAAAGAGGUAGCGCCUUACAGUCAGAUUAGUCAGCUUUAUUUCUUUCAUCAACCCUUUACUGGCUUUCUAAGUUUUUUCAAGUAACUUCACCUCUCUGAGUUUCAUUUACCUCAUUACCUUCAUCAGGUAAGAUGACAUAUGAAAAGUCCUUCUCAAGCAACUGCAAAGUUCCAAUUAAUAGAAGAAAUUGUAAUGACUAUCUGUGUUUGAAGCAGGGCCAUUUUUCUUAUUUGGAAUUUUCACGUAUUAAAAAUAUGGAUCCUUUACACCUGUAUGCCUUUACUCUCCAAAUUGAUUCAUUCUCUAGUUCCUCUAUCUCAUUACUAAGUUCAAAUAAUCAUCUUCCUACAAAUCACUCAGUUUAGAUGCCUUGAAGGCCUCUUUGAAUGCUUGCUCCUGUUCACACCCGACAGUCAGUAAUCAAGCCCUGUGGAACUUGUCCCUGGUCAACAUCCGUUCUUCUCCAUUCCUACUGCAGUUCACCACACGCAGGCCCUCAUUGUCCCCUCCUGGGAUCUAUAUCCUCUCCUCAGCACCUUUUCCUUCUCUAUUGAUACCAUAGACAACUUCUCAUCUCAUAUUCUCUAAACUCAACUUUCAGGAUAUCAUACUCUUAUUCCAUAGAUCAGAACUUUCAAUGACUUUCUCCUUCUUUACAGCUCUUCAUAACAACUCUGAAGAUAGAUUCACUCCUUCUUUUUGGAAUUGCCUCUUAUUUCUUUUUCUUUCUAUGCCCAUCAUAAACCUCCCAUUGGCAAAAUUACCAUGAACAUUUUCUUGUGAAUUCAUUGCCUUGGUUCAUUGGUUCAUGGAUGGGCACCACCAUGAGCCAAUUAGAAUCUUUCCCUGAGAAUCUAGAAUCAUGGUUAAGAAGGUAUAGAUGUGCCUAAUGCUUUGUUGAAUGAAGAAAAUAUAAUCUCCCAAGGGUGGCAGCCAUUUUUCUGCCCUAUGAACUUCAAAAUGCAGAAAAUCUAUCUGGAAUGUGAAAGAAGAAGGAUAUCAAUGUAAAAACACGAACAAUAUAGAUAAGUAGAGAGAGAAGAGAGAGUGACUCCCCAUUCUGCUUUUUUCUGAGGCCUUAAUUUUUUUUUUAUUUGUCAUUGGUCU